rnacentral:tRNA from 1 species
GUGGGCGUAGCACAAUGGCUAGUGCGGUAGAUUGUGGUUCUACUUAUUUGGGUUCAAUUCCCAACGUUCACCCCA